UUUCACCUUGGCUAAAUUGUUAGGUAUUCUAUUCUUUUUGAUGCAGUUGGAAAUGGGAUUGUUUGCUUAAUCUCUCUUUCUGAUAGGCCAUUAUUAGUGUAUAGAAAUAUAAUAGAUUUCUGUAUAUUUUGUGUCUUCACCAUACGAUGAGUUUAUUCAUUCUAACAGUUUUUUAGUGGAUUCCUUAGGUUUAUCUAUAUAUAAUGUCAUCUACAAAUAAGUAAUGGUUUUAUUUCUUUCCAGUAUGGAUGCCUUUUUCUUGCCUAAUUGCUCUCAGUAGGACUACCAAUACUAUGUUGGAAAAAAGUGGCAAGACUAGCAUCACAACAGAGAAACCUGAAUGGAAGACUUAGCCACAACCAGUCCAAACUUCGGCAGCCACCACCCUGAUCAGCCAGCUGCCAUCAACUUGGAGGCAAGACCUUCCACCAGCGGAAAAGAUUACAACUAGCUGAAAGCUGAGAUGAUGGCUAGCAUUUUUAGAAAUACAGUAUUUUUUAAUGAAGGUAUGUACUUUGUUUUUAGAAGUGCUUCACACACCUAAUAGACUAUAAUACAGUAUAAACAUAACUUUUGUAUGUACUAGGAAACCAGAAACUUCAUUUAAGUUGCUUUAUUGCAGAUCUCUGUAACCUAACCUGCAGUAGAUCAGAGGUAUGCCUAUGUAGCUGUUUGGUUUGUGGUUACUAUGAGCCUUACAUAGAACUACCAAUUUAAAGUAGACUUUCAUGAAUAUGACAGUUUUACUUUGAAGGCAUUCUAAAGCUCUGCCUUUUUACUCUUACCCAUCCUACCACCAUGGUUUAGGUUUUACUUCCUCUUAGUUUUGUGUAUCCCUUAAUUAUUAUAGUUAUUUUUACUACUUUUGUCUUCAUCUUCAUACCAUUACUUUUACUCUAAUGUUUAUCUUUACCAGUAAAAUGUUCACUCUUCCUGUUUUCUUGUUACUAAUCCACACCUUUCCAACUCAAAGAGCUCCCUUUAGCAUUUCUUAGGAGGCCAGUUAAUGGUGACAGAUUCCUUUAGCUUUUGUUGUUCUGGAAUACUCUUUCUCCUUUAGUUCUGAAAGAUAACUUUGCAAGAGUGUAUAUUCUUUCUUGAUUGGAGUCUUUUUCUUUCAGCACUUGCACUCUCUCAUGCCACUCCUUUCUGGCCUGCAAAGUCCUGCUGUAAAAUCUGCUAAUUAUUGUAUGGGGUUUCUUUUGUAUAUAAGAAGUUCCUCCCUUGGCUGCUUUUAUCCUGGUCUUUAACUUUUGACAAUUAGUGUUUUGGUGUGGGUCUCUUUUGGUUCAUUUUAUUUGGAAUUCUCUCUGGGCUUCCUGUUUCUGGAUGUUGGGUUCCUCUUCUAGGUUUUCAGCCCCUUUCUGUCUCUUCUGGGAUCCCUGUCAUGUGAAUGUUAGUUGAUGUUUUCCUCUAAGUCUUUUAAGCUUCCCCCUCCUCCCCCGUGGGUGAAUUCUAAUACCCUGUCUGUAAGAUCAGUGAUCCUUUCUUCUGCUUCAUCUUGUCUGCUGGAAAACCCCUCUAAUUUUUCAGUUCUGUUAUUGUAUCCUUUAGCUUUGUGAUUGCUAUUUGGUACUUUUUUUUUUCCAACUUCUGUGUUCAUCCAUUCUUCCAAUAUUGGUGAGCAUCUUCAUGGCCAUAGUUUGAGCUCUUUAUCAAGUAGAUUAUUUAUCUCCAUUUCACUGAGGUAUUUUUCCAAGGUUUUAUCAUAAUUCCUUCAUUUGGAACAUAUUCCUGUUUCUUUUUUUUUUUUUUCUCUUUGUUGGUUUCUGUGCUUUAGAUGAAACAGCCACCUCUCCCAAUGUUGAAGAUAAACCUUUUCAUUCAACCUUG